rnacentral:rRNA from 1 species
CUUUCUUUGCUGGCGACCGGCGCACGGGUGAGUAACACGUAUCCAACCUGCCCUUUACUCGGGGAUAGCCUUUCGAAAGAAAGAUUAAUACCCGAUAGUAUAAUGAUUCCGCAUGGUUUCAUUAUUAAAGGAUUCCGGUAAAGGAUGGGGAUGCGUUCCAUCAGGUUGUUGGUGAGGUAACGGCUCACCAAGCCUUCGAUGGAUAGGGGUUCUGAGAGGAAGGUCCCCCACAUUGGAACUGAGACACGGUCCAA